rnacentral:rRNA from 1 species
GAUGAACGCUAGCGGCAGGCCUAACACAUGCAAGUCGAGGGGUAGAUUAGCUUGCUAAUUUGAGACCGGCGCACGGGUGCGUAACGCGUAUGCAAUCUACCUUGUACAGGGGGAUAGCCCAGAGAAAUUUGGAUUAAUACCCCAUGGUAUAAUUAAUUUGCAUGAAUUGAUUAUUAAAGUUCCAACGGUACAAGAUGAGCAUGCGUCCCAUUAGCUAGUUGGUGUGGUAACGGCAUACCAAGGCGACGAUGGGUAGGGGUCCUGAGAGGGAGAUCCCCCACACUGGUACUGAGACACGGACCAGACUCCUACGGGAGGCAGCAGUGAGGAAUAUUGGUCAAUGGUCGGAAGACUGAACCAGCCAUGCCGCGUGCAGGAAGAAGCAUCUAUGGUGUGUAAACUGCUUUUGUACGGGAAGAAACACUCCUACGUGUAGGAGCUUGACGGUACCGUAAGAAUAAGGAUCGGCUAACUCCGUG